GAGGAAUAUUGGUCAAUGGACGAAAGUCUGAACCAGCCAUGCCGCGUGCAGGAUGAAUGCCCUAUGGGUUGUAAACUGCUUUUAUGUAGGAAUAAACCCCCUCUCGUGAGAGGGGCUGAAGGUACUACAAGAAUAAGGACCGGCUAACUCCGUGCCAGCAGCCGCGGUAAUACGGAGGGUCCAAGCGUUAUCCGGAUUUAUUGGGUUUAAAGGGUCCGCAGGCGGGAAAAUAAGUCAGUGGUGAAAUCCUAUCGCUUAACGAUAGAACUGCCAUUGAUACUGUUUUUCUUGAGUGUAAUUGAAGUGGGCGGAAUGUGUCAUGUAGCGGUGAAAUGCAUAGAUAUGACACAGAACACCGAUUGCGAAGGCAGCUCACUAAAUUAUUACUAACGCUCAGGGACGAAAGCGUGGGGAGCAAAC
rnacentral:rRNA from 1 species